rnacentral:rRNA from 1 species
CAGUCGAGCGGACAGAUGGGAGCUUGCUCCCUGAUGUUAGCGGCGGACGGGUGAGUAACACGUGGGUAACCUGCCUGUAAGACUGGGAUAACUCCGGGAAACCGGGGCUAAUACCGGAUGGUUGUUUGAACCGCAUGGUUCAAACAUAAAAGGUGGCUUCGGCUACCACUUACAGAUGGACCCGCGGCGCAUUAGCUAGUUGGUGAGGUAACGGCUCACCAAGGCAACGAUGCGUAGCCGACCUGAGAGGGUGAUCGGCCACACUGGGACUGAGACACGGCCCAGACUCCUACGGGAGGCAGCAGUAGGGAAUCUUCCGCAAUGGACGAAAGUCUGACGGAGCAACGCCGCGUGAGUGAUGAAGGUUUUCGGAUCGUAAAGCUCUGUUGUUAGGGAAGAACAAGUACCGUUCGAAUAGGGCGGUACCUUGACGGUACCUAACCAGAAAGCCACGGCUAACUACGUGCCAGCAGCCGCGGUAAUACGUAGGUGGCAAGCGUUGUCCGGAAUUAUUGGGCGUAAAGGGCUCGCAGGCGGUUUCUUAAGUCUGAUGUGAAAGCCCCCGGCUCAACCGGGGAGGGUCAUUGGAAACUGGGGAACUUGAGUGCAGAAGAGGAGAGUGGAAUUCCACGUGUAGCGGUGAAAUGCGUAGAGAUGUGGAGGAACACCAGUGGCGAAGGCGACUCUCUGGUCUGUAACUGACGCUGAGGAGCGAAAGCGUGGGGAGCGAACAGGAUUAGAUACCCUGGUAGUCCACGCCGUAAACGAUGAGUGCUAAGUGUUAGGGGGUUUCCGCCCCUUAGUGCUGCAGCUAACGCAUUAAGCACUCCGCCUGGGGAGUACGGUCGCAAGACUGAAACUCAAAGGAAUUGA